ensembl:lncRNA
CUUGCCUGUUAGAAAUAUCGCCCUGGGCUGCCAGCUCAGCGAAGGAGAAAAGCGGGUGUGUGUUACCGAGGGAAGAUGGGGGUCACCUCCCUGCCGGGGGGGACACCUCACCCCUUCCCUGCCCUCCUUGGGCUGCUGCACCUGCAAGAACCCCUCCUUGUGCUCUGCUGCUCAUGGGGUGCUUAGAGCUGAGCAUCCUCACGGGGGGAUGCCCUACGGGGAGCUCCCAACGUCCCCUCCGCAGCUCCUACACCCCCAGGGUCGCCGGGCUGCAGUGGAUGGAUUUCAGCCCAGCUGGCAGUUUGGGAUCGUUAACCAUGAAGGUGCCCCUGGGAAGAAGCGAAAAAGGGUUAGAGCAAGAUGGAUGGUUCCCCAGGCCCAUGGAAUGAGCAGAUAGAGGCAGCCCUGUCGACUCUGGCAUCCCAUUAAGCCAAGCUGCGGGAGGAGGCCGCCGUCGGACUUAUUACAUUUGCCCCCACCCGGACCCCAAACAUCAGCCCCAGUGUGGGGUGCCCCCGGCUCGGCUGCCCGUGCCCCACAUUGCCGGGUGCCACCCGCACCUCUACCCUAUCCAUCCCCCACAUCAGCAUGGGAAUCGCCUCUUGCAUCCCUCAGUGUCAGCCCACACCGAUUUGUCACUGAUAGGUGACAAGCACUGUGUGGCUCAGUGUGGCUCCGGGUAAGGGCAGCCGGGGGGGGGGGAGCUCAGACAGCCCCCAACCCACCGCUGACCAGGGCUGCUGUGCCUGGUGAAACAGCAGUGAGGAAGGGGGGAAAAACAAGGCAAAAAUAGAAGGAAAAAUGAUGGGAUGAAAAAAAUGAAACAAACCCCAUCGUGUUCAGGAGCCCAAGAACCACGCAGCCCCAUGGGGGGGUCGGCAGUGGUGACAGGGGCACCCGGCUGCCCCAUCUCCACCGCCCGCUUCCUUCGCACGGAUAUUUCCACUUUAAUACUUAACAAGGAUUUAAAACCCUUCUGCAGCCGGAGUUUGUUGGCAGCGAUAAAUUUUGAAUAGCUUAUAAAUAAUGGAGGCAAGGUGGUGCCUCCGGCUGGGAGAAGGGGUGAGGCCCCACCUGCCAUCAGGAGAGGGUGAGGAGCAGCCCUGGUGCAUACCGCUCGGUGACGAUGGCAUCACAGUGCACAGCCCAGCAUGGCCAGGCUGCUUCACACCUCCUGAUAGGGAUGAGCCAGCAUGCAAGUAUCAUGGGAUGGAAUUAUGGAUGGACGGAGAAAUGCAUGCAGUCCCUUUCUAUAUAUAUGUGUGCGGAUGCACGUACAGAGAGACAAAUAUAUAGAGCUGUGCACAGCCACAAGCAUGCGUGCUUGCAUGCAUCUCUAUGGGUCAAAUUGCCCACCUCCCCUUGACCUCCCCUCCAUGCCUUGCUCCCAUCGAACCCAUAUCCCACCCCAUGUGCUGCAGAUGCAACAGGCAGCAGCUCCUGCAGGGCACCUCACACACUGCUCCACACUUUGGGGCCAGGAGGGGAUUUGGGAAGAGGGCUGGAAGGGAUGAUUUCAUCCCCAUGAGAACUGGAGAGCGUUUCUGUGCACGGCAGGGGUGGAUGCAAUGUCUGCUCCCUGCUUUUCCCUGGCACUUUGUAGCAAGUCAGUAAUUAGGUUAUAGCACCGCUCUGGCUUAAUUUCUACGCACCAACGUCCAAUAAAUGUGUAUGGAGUUUGUAUGUGUGCCUGUAGUAUAUAAAAGCUAUAGGAAAAUGGCCAGACUUCACUACAUUAAUUCAUAAAGCAGGUCAUUCUUGUCUGGCCCUUUACCUCACUUGUUAUUUCUAUUUAUUAGUAAUAUUGAUGUUUCAACCAGGGAUCAGGACCCCAUUGAGCCAGCUUUAAUAACAGAAAAGAUUUAGCAGGAGAGAGCCCUGUAAUGAACCAAUAAUCACAACAGCGGCGCUCACGUAGUGCAGCUCACAAACAGCAUUGUUAUUUGUACAGUGUUUUAUUUGCUAUUUCACUUUUGCAGCGAGCCCAGCAUCUCCCACUGCACCAGUUUGGCCAUGCCAAGGCUUUGUUGAGGGUGAAAAUGGAAUGAAUGAGUGUUGGCUUCGGAGGGCCAUCAGCGUGGGCUGGUACCCAUGGUAACCGCUUGGGAGCCGUACAAAGCCCAGGACCACAUCUAAACCAACUUCAGCUUCGUCGCCUGCUGAGACAUUGAACACGAGCCAGUCCUCAGCUCUGAGCCAAGAUACACUUAGGGAGGGUUUGUCUGGCAAGAACCUCUGGAACUAUUGAUCCGUGAGAAAAAGUGAUCAAGGGAAGUACAGCUGUCCUGGUUAUUGCCUCACCAUGCUCUCUACCAGCUGCAAAACUUCACCAGCAGAGACAACGAGAGAAGAGCUGCGCAGCAUCCUUCCUUCAUGCAAACUCUGCUCUGUGUCUGAAAGCCCAGCGCAGAGCUGGAGCUGCUGCAGCACCGGGGAUGGUGCACGGUGGGGAGAACCGGGGAGCAAACAUCGUCUGAACAGGGACAAAGGCAUUAUAAAUGAGUGCUGCCGGAUCUCCUGUCAGCCAGGGUGGUGUUACCUCUGCAUUUAUACUUCAGUAAUUUCUGCAUUUCUCUAAUUUCUUAAAUUGCCUGUAAGAUGAUAAUAUUUCCUAGAACAUGGUGAAUAGAUUAACUGCACGCUACGGCGCUAUCCAAAACUGCUUCGAGCAGCAUUAAAACCAGAUGUUCCCAAAGAGCCAAGGGAAAAUGUUACCUGCGCUGCUCACCAGCCAAGGGGCGAACUGCCUGUGCCUUACGUAGCAAUGCUGCUUUUCCUGGGAUCAUGGAAAACCAGCAACACGAGGCAUCUCCACGCCACAGCUCUGGCAACGUGUGCUCCACCACAUGCCCUUGCUUCCCACGCUGCCUGCUGCCAUCCGUGGCUGCGGGGCACAGGGACGGCAUGGCCAGGAGCAGCAGCCUGACCUACUUCAGUGCAGUGCAAUGGCCUCUCUGCCACGCAUCCUCGCACAGACACGAAGCACAGUUUGAGGGCAGCGGACCCGCAUGGGGUGGGAUGCUGUCCCAGCCUCCACCAGCUAGCAUUGCUCCGGCUGCCUCCGAGCGCUCUCACCGCUGCGUAUCAACUCACAGGCUCCAUUAACAAAUCAAAUUGCCACUGAUGUGCUUCUCAUUACAUCUCGGGGCUUACGCGUCGUUAUUUCAUUUAAAAGACGGCAUUUGUUUUCCCUUCCCUGAUUCCACGUCCCCAAAAUCUCAUUAGGAGAUCGCUGCUCAUUAUGAAGUGCUGCUCAGUGUAACGUGCUGGGGGUGCAGGACUCAGCAAAGGGCCCCACAUGGAGGUGGGGGGGGGGGGGGGGAGAGGGUAAUGAAGAGCCAUUGAAUGAGGAGUGCCGAGGCUUAAUUUGGGAGGAGAGGAGCGGACUGUGGAUGCUGACAGCACCGCAAUGCGAAUCCCCCUUGGAGCACCCAAAGAAUCGGCCUAAAUGGAUUAAUGUGAGGACAGAGAAGAAAUGACUUCAGUUGUUUCCCUGAUUCAAUUCCGUUUAUUUUUAUACGGCGUCUUCAUGCAAAGCAUCUCCCAGCUGCUUCAUCCAGAAGAGGGAUAACAGAGGAUCACCGCGCUGGCUCAGCUCUCACCAGUGCUGGCAUUGCAGUGGGAGGGAGGAACACAAGCGCUGGCCUUGAGGAUUUGACGUCCCAAAUCAUCAGGAGAUCAUAUGCCAUUUUUUUCUCUUCUUUUUCCAGUUCCAAUAUUGGUAAUUUCCCUAGGCUUUCCUCAAAGCAUCGCUGCAAUAUACUCGGGCUGAUUCUAAUCUCACGCUGCUUUUAUAGCACUGUAAUUCCGAUCUCACACUGGUUUUAUACUGGUGCAGCCCCACUUAUUUCAACUGAGUAAAUUCCUGAUUUAUGUCAGUGCAAACGACGGCAGAAAUGGGCCCGCAGCUCUCCCUGGAGCAACGCCUGGCUCCCACCAGGGUGAGGAAGAGGAAGAUCAGCUCGUUUGCAAUGCAAAUGGUGUAGAAAACUGCUGCCACAUUACACCCAGACCCUCACUUUGCGAUGCGCUUUUGCUCUCUUCUAUGAAAUGCACUUUGUUGCAUUUUGGAAACCCACAGGAGGUCACUGAGAAGCGACGUGUGGCUCUGCUGGGUGUCCGUGGGGACCGACCCGUUUAUUGCCUUCGCCCUUCUCUCUUCCUCAGCCCCACCACCACUCUGUUGCUGUUUCAAGGACGUUUCGUUGCCUUAAUUUACUCUCUGUGAUGUGAAGGGAUGCAGUGACUUAUCCUGAUACCCAUCCCAGAGGCUGCACCUCAGCAGUGCAGUGUUGGUGUUGGUUAAUAAGCCCCUUGCAGACCAAAGCAAGACUGUGACUGCUGCAUCCACCUGGGCAAGCUGCGUCCUCUCUUGCUUAUGCUAAGGGAGGAAAAAUAGGGGCUGUUGUAACUAAUGGCUGUGGGGUGGAGUGAUUUUCCCCUUCCGUUUGCUCUCAGGAAAGAACAGGACGGAACUGGGAGAGGAAGGCAGGCUGAAAAGGGGGAUGGAUAAGGACCUUGGUUGGUUGUCUCUGCUUGGGUGCUGGUCCCUCACAAUGGGGGGGUCCCUGAGCUCCCACCCAUUGCUGUGCCCUGAGGAGCACUGCUGCAGUGCCAUACCCACCCAUUGUGCACCUAUGUGAUGCUCAGACAGCAAGAAGGUGAGGGUUGCUGGUAUCACCUCUCCUAUGGGGCUGUGCAAACUCAUACUCACUGAUGCCCCUCUGCCAUUGCAAAGUGGGAAACAACCUUGUGCAGCCACUGGACAAAGUCUUCCCUUCACACCCAGCCUGGCAGCACUGAGCCCUGCUCCAUGGAGAGGAGCAAACCCUGAUCCCACAGCCCAGCAGAGCCCCCCCAGCCUAGCAGUCAGACCCACAAGCUGACAUCAGCAGAACGAAGCAUGGCCCCAGCAGUAAUCUGAUAGAACCCAAUGGCAGUUUGGGUUGGGGGGGGGGGGGGAGGGGAGGGGAGGCACUGAAAGAAGAGGCACUGAAAGUACACUUCCUUCAGUGCAUUGCUGGGGAGACCAUUAGGAAAACCACUAGAUUAUUUUUCACAUUCUUCAGCGCAAAACUACUGCGUUUUAUGACCACUAUCAAUAACAGCUAUCAUAUUACUAAUGCUACAGUUGCCACAUAUAUAAUAUUUAAAUCACAUUUGUGGCUGACAGAGACCUAUGGAUAUUCUCGAUCCCAACAGGCUAUUACAGUUCAUAUCGUGUCUGUCAUAUAAAUAUUAUGAAUCAUUUCCCACUAUCUUUAUGGGGGCUACAUUGACAUCGUCGAAAAGGCUCUGGGCUGGAUACUGGCUGCAUAUUUAUACACACCUUAUGUAUAUGUAUGUGAAUGGAGGGAGAUUUAUUCAACAAUCACCAGUAAUAAAUGCCUAUGAUAAACCAUAUUAUCUUCACACUUCAUUUGCAAAGUGUUUUGUAUGCAAGGACUGGGGGGAAGGCCCUGUCAGUGGCACAUCCUCAAGCUCUGGUGUGAGGCUUUGUGGUGAGGUUGCUCACAGCUGGCACAGCCCUAUCGCAGCCCCAGGUGAAGCAGGGAG